AUGGCCCCGAAGAAAGAAAAGAGGCCACCUCUUGCGGACGAUAUCGGCACAAAGUACACAAUGCUUGACCCUAGGUUCGACAAGCAUCACCGUGCCCGUUUCAUUGAGAAUGGAGUGAUGCUGCCGCCACUACGGAUGAGGGCUCACAAGACGACGGUUAAGAUGGAGUACGACGAUCGGUACGCACCGUUCUUCAGGAGAGCCCGACUAUUGGGUUUCGUCCUGCAGUUCAAGCGUAAGCCGCCAACGCUCGUUCACUCAGCUCUCACGGCUUUGAUCGACCGGUGGCGGCCAGAGACGCACAGCUUUCAUCUUCCAUGCGGGGAGAUGACCGUGACCCUCGAGGAUUGGGCGAUGAUUACGGCACUACCGCUGGAGGGUCGUCCUCUCACGGGAAGAGUGGAGAGGGCAAACUGGCUCGAGAGGGUUGUCAGCCUCAUCGGCGACUGCCCCGCCGCUAAGAGCAACCGGACUUCCGGUAUACCGCUGCCAUGGCUCCUCGAGCACCGGAGGAAGUGCCCGGAAGAUGCCGAGCCCCGGGUGGUGGAGCAGUACACCAGGGCCUACCUGUGGUACAUUCUCACGGAGGUAGUGUUUCCGGACUGCUCUGGGAACUCUGCCCUAUGGAUCUAUCUCGACUUCCUGAAGGACUGGGAUGCGGGGUAUAGCUGGGGGGCCGCCGGACUUGGCUACCUAUACCGUUCGCUUGACGACGCGACCCAGAGAGGGGAAGUUUCGUCCGGUAUGUGUGGAUGUGUGUGGGGCCUCUCCAUUUGGAUGUGUGAGCGAAUCCCGGUGGGCCGUCCGGAGAAGAUGUGCUCGCGUGCAUGGACGGACUAUGGAGGAGAUGACGAAGAUGAUCGGAACCCGACCGUCGCAUACGCUUGGGACGUGGUGCGUGUCUACACGGGCGAAUCGAAGGCCUUGUACAAGGUCUUCAGCAACGAGCUUGAUUCUCUCACGCCUUUCCAGGUUACUUGGCGGUCGUAUAGUGAUGAUCGACAGUGGGGGUUCGAGCUGAACAGCAUGUGCAAGCAGGACCGGCUGCUCUUCCGGUGCAUCGUGCCCAUGAUUUGUGUCUAUGCCGUGGAGUACCACUUGCCACAGCGCGUUGCCGCACAAUUUGGUAAGACGCAACACACACCACCAGCCGGCAUCGUCCGCGACACCGGUGGCUACGACCUACACCUGAUGAGUAGGCAGAAGAAUCAAUCAAUCACAGAUUGGGAAGCCGAACAUGCGAGAUACGUGAAGGAAUGGAACGAGUGGAAAACACGCAAAGACACGGAGAGGAGAGUGAUUGACUGGGACGCGUACGAGGAUCACAUGUUGUGGUACGAUGAUGGCAUCAAGCAUUGUCUGCGUCUGAGGCCCCAGUGGACGACAGCAGAUGCCGAA
rnacentral:rRNA from 1 species